UACGGAGGAUGCGAGCGUUAUCCGGAUUUAUUGGGUUUAAAGGGUGCGUAGGCGGACUGUCAAGUCAGCGGUAAAAUUGAGAGGCUCAACCUCUUCCCGCCGUUGAAACUGGUGGUCUUGAGUGGAUGAGAAGUACGCGGAAUGCGUGGUGUAGCGGUGAAAUGCAUAGAUAUCACGCAGAACCCCGAUUGCGAAGGCAGCAUACCGGCGCCCGACUGACGCUGAGGCUCGAAAGCGUGGGGAGCAAACAGG
rnacentral:rRNA from 1 species